GGAUGUGAGGGCAAUCUGGCUAUGACUUCUAUCACCCCAGUGAUCACCAGGACUGAUUUGGCUGAUCUGGCUGGCCAGGCGGUUACCCCCUUCCUUCCUCAACACUCCAUGUAUGUCCCUCAUGAAGCUGCUUGUUCUGUCGAAGAGGACCACCUUCCCCAGUAGAGGAGGACCAAUCUUUGAUCAAGGGUAUAGGAGCAGCUGGGUCCCGUGCUAGAACCUCCAAACAAGCUCUCAAGAAGAUAGCUAAGCACCCUAGGAACCUGUUGGGUCAAAAUCUCUAUUUAAAAAAAUAUAGUGAUGCUAGAAACUUAUUACCAUAU
rnacentral:snRNA from 1 species